GAAGCAGAAUUUGUAGAACAGUUAUAUCUCUUUUACUUUCAAGAUAAGCUAUUGUCUCCAGAUUGACAUUACAUCUCUUAAGGUCUUCAUAAAACACCACUAAUCCAUUUUUAUUCUUGAAUUUGGAUCCAAUGAUUUUCAUCUGAUUCAUAAGCUCUGAAUUGCAUCCAUAUGAAAUCGAUUAUAAAGAAUGAGUUGACAUAACAUUCUGCAGCCAAGAGUAUGGCUUCUAUUGCAGCUUCAUGGCUUUCUGGGGUUAUGUCAUGCUGGGAACACAAAUCAGCUGCCAAACGUUCAAAUUGAGAGGCCCUAUAUACCGAAUCUUGAUAGUUUACAAGUUGUAGAUAAUCUGCUUGUGAAUACAAGUAAUCAGCGAAGAAACCAAUAUUCUGAAAGUUGUUAUUUGAUAUCUUAUUCACCUCUGAAACACCACAACAAGAAUUCAAUCUGAUCCAGUCCCCAGUAAAAUAAUUGGAAACACUUGUCAGAACAAUUUUUGACAGAUUUCUAGGAGCAAACUGCAGGUUAGCAUCUUGGAGUACAUCUUUUCUUGUGGCAGCUUUAGAUGCAUCAAUCUUUCUCUUUGCUUCAUCCGGACUACUGGAUGUGCUAGAAGCCCAAUGAGAACAUAUCACAGAGUCAGAAGAAACAGCUAAAGACUCUUGAUCAGCCACUUUAGGAAAUGAACAUUUGCAAAGGUCAAUAUCCGAAGGAAAUGGCAUAUGUGGCCCCAAAUCAGAAAGGAGUACAAUAGUGAAGACAGUAUAUUGUCAGCUAAAUGAAUACCAAGUAAUGUAACAACCAACAAGGUGCAUUUGAUAAGAUUCCUUUUGUUGCAGGGAAUAAAAAACAAAAAAUAAUUUCUUUUUUUUUUUUACUCACAUCUUUUUAAACUGCAGUCUUCACCAAUCACUUCAUUCUCUCUCUUUGCAUCUCCAAAAAUAAGCAUUAUAAAGUAUAAACUAUAAAGAUGUUAAAGUUUUUUUAAUUUCUCUAUGAUAUUAGCAUAUGCUGUUACAAUAGACCUUGGUGCAAUAGAUUCACGUCUCCAUUCAGAUUCCACAAAAGGAAGAAUGGCAGGCCUUCGUAAUGCAGUACAUAUAACAUUGAAUGCAAUACAACAGUUCUUCUAUUUCUCCAAGUGUAUAUCAUUAGCAUCUUCAGAAGUUGUAUUCUUUGUUCCAGUAAUCACAGGAUCAAGGAAGGGUUCUAGCAUCUCUAAAAGAAAUAGAAGCCUAUGUUUAAAUUCCUACACGGAUGGUAAAAGCAUCAUCUAUCUGAUUGGAAAGAGUAAGCAAAAUUAUGCUUGAUACUUUAAUAGAAGGUCAAACCUUAUAUUUUGACAGUACAUCAUCCAUAUGCCCAGACAAGGCCAGCAAGAUAUAUUUCAAAGCAAGGAUUGAAACAUCGUACCGUACCGGCGUUUCGAGGUUGGCUCGAUAUGGUACGGUACGCCUAAUUUAGAUGUAAUGGAGUUUAAGAUAACACAAAUAUGAGAAAAAAAGAGUUUGAGAUAGUUUAACAGAGUAUGAGAAUGAAAUGGAGUGAAAUAGGGGAGAAGAAUGGUUUAAAAACAUGAGAAGGGUUUGAGAUAGUUUAAGCGUUCCGCCUGGUAAUGGAUGGUCCGCAUACCGGUAACCUAUCGGACCGGUACGUACUGCCUAUACCGGGUGGUACCAUUCGAAAUUGUAUACCUUGCUUCAAAGCAGCAUAAGCACGACUAGUAGAUUAUGGAAACACCCGGUAGGGGCAUUAUGAACAGAGUCAACCAAACAUGAAGCAUGAAAAUAAGUGCAUAAUCUAUCAUACGAAAUUUUUUCCUUUUCUUGAAUUUUUAUUCAGGAGGAAGUGGAUAGAAUUUGGAUAAUAACGGGGGCAUUGUGAUGAAAUUCACAGUUUCUUGAGCACACAGAUGAAAGAUGGAUGUCACAUACAGGGUUCAUGAACUAAAAAGCACUAAAUCACAGUAACUAGAACUAAAGGACUUGCAUUCACAGGAUUUGAAGUGUAUAUUUUAAGUGUAUAUUGGUAUCUUAGAAACAUAUAAAAAAUAAUCUGCUACCCAUUAAGAAAUAUAUAGCUUUCCAAGCCACAAUAGUAGUUAUAUUGGUCCAUAAAAGUCCCAUAAGAGUUGAGCACAACACUCCAAAGAACUCUGUACAAGGCUGUGUCAUAGUUGUAUCAUCAGAACACUCAAACAGUAGGUUCUUUAUUGGCUCUCUAGAAAAAAAGGAAAACUCCAAUCCAACAGACAAAAGUUUCAGUUUCACAAUAACUGCUAUGAUGAUCAGGAUCAAAUUCAAGAGAUCAGGGUUUUAUUCAAGUGUACAAAUGACUGAUAUUGUUGGAAUCUUCAUAAUAAGGUAAUAGAUGGAUCACAAAAUAACAUCUAUGAUAGGUCAUAGAAAGUUUUUUUUUAGUUCAUCAGGAUGGACAUGUCAGUACAAUACAUGCCGAUCAGCAUGGUUUAAACAUAUGGCUGGAACAAGCCUUGUGCUUGAUUGUGUGUUCAGGGACAUCCUUGGUAUAAAACUAAACUCCAUGCUAGUAUUAUACUAGCAUAACAUAGUUCGACAAUCAUUAACCACUUCUAGCAAACUUGAAAUAUUAUCAUACAUCAUCAAAUGGUGAAACUAAUUGCCAUCUGAACAAUCAUCAUCAAAUAUUAUACCACAGCAGAACAAAUUGCCUCUGAACUUCAUAGUCUUUGUUAUGCUAGGACUAUGAUGUUCAAAUCAAAUAACAUUUUUCUCAAAAUGAGAAGAUUAUUUCAAGAGAAAAUUAGUGAUUGAUAAUUUGACCAUCCACAAUAAAUCACAAUGUAUUAACCACAAAAAAGGUCAGAUCUGCACCAAGAAGUGACCAAGUACUCAUCAAACAUAGAUAGUUUUAAUUGCUUAUGUUAGAUAAUUCACCAAACAUUAUUUAUAUAUUUUCAUGAUGAAUAGGUUAAUUAUGAUGAUCAUGAUUUAUAUACAUCUACCUAUUCUAACAUUAAAUAAAUACCAAAUUUUGUCACAUUAAAUAGUAAACAUUAUACAUUGAUACAUGCCCAUAUCCAUCAUAUCAAUAUCUUGCACUUGUAUCCAUGACUUCAUAACCAACCAACCAACCAAAGGAGCAUUCAUUAUAAUAAAGAAUUAAGCCUUCAUAACAGUAAUAAAAACAAGAAGAAUGAUGGAAUUACUUGAAUAACACCAAGAGGUCCUCCGGAAGUUCAAUUGCA
rnacentral:lncRNA from 1 species